CGAGUUUUUAAAAAAAAAAAUCUAAAAUUCUCUCUGAAAUGAGAGGGGAGAGAGAGAUCUAGGCUCCAGUCUUCGUCGAUCCGAGCCCUGGUCGUCGGCCUCACGCACCUACGCGCCCACGCGCCCACGCGCCGUCGCCCCGUCGCCUACUCCUCCCCGUACGGUGGUCAGAGGUUUAAAGAAACUCGCUUUCUGAUGCAAAUAAAAGAUACCAAAAAAUCCGGCUAAGAUUGCGCUGUAGAUGCAAAUCUUGUCUGGUGACCACUAAACAGCCCCUGCUGCGAAGAUUUUGGCACUGAUAGAGGCACAAAAGGUCGUCGGUGAGGCCUGAGAUUGCGGUGCACUGAUGUGAGGUUAACAGUGAUGACGUUUGGAGUGCCCGAGGGAUCUCGUGACCGUCAAUCUGACCGGCAUUGCUGAGGGCUAGCUGGGGUGACGUGAGGGGACAGGGCUAUUGAUGGCCCUUGCUUUGGGAGCUGGAACGGCUCUGACGUGGCGAAGCUUCUGGAAUGGCUCUUACGGCGCUGGGGUUCUUAGGGUUUCCUGCUGGUACUUUAAGUCAUUGGGCCUUUUGGGCCCGAGUGACUUGGGACUAUUUGGGUCUAUUGGGUAGUGAUAUAAUCUGAUAUGGGUUGUAACCGGGUAUGGGGCUUUUGUAUUUGGGCUUAUGAGGUGUUGAGGCCUGUGUAUUGUAAAUGGAUUGUUUAAAUAAAUAAACAUUCAUUUAUUUAUUUUUGUAUUUCUGUUUUGGUUUUAAGGCCCUGUCAAAUUUGGGCUAUUACAGUAUGAAUGAUGUAUUUAUGAAUUGAAUAUUGAAUGACUAAUGUUAUUGUAUGAAUAAAUGUGGUUUUUAAUA